rnacentral:lncRNA from 1 species
CCGAACACGCACGUUAUUGGAGGAUAGAGGAUUGAGUAAGAGAGCCCAAAAAUUUGAUUGGAGGAGCCGACUCCGGAUGUGCUUGACUGAACACUGAUUGGAGAACAAGGGGUCAGGAAGAGCAGUUCCGCACGAGGAUUGGGCGGUGGCGUGUCCCAUGGAAACGGAAUCCAGAACUGCAGCCAGGGUUUUUCACGGGGGCGGAGCCGGCUCUUCCCCAGGCGCCUGCGCCUAACCGGUUCCCCGGCGCCAUUUUGUCCCGGCAGCAGCAGCCCGCAGCUCUAUCCCAUUUUCUGUGUCUGGAGGGAAGGACGCGGACUCUCUCGACUCGGGAUGGCGGGAUUUUACUGACACCCCCCCCCCUUCCUCCCGGCAUAGCUCUGUCUCCCUUUGACAUUGCAUUUCGGAAGCUGGGUUGCGGUCUGCAGACACCAGGGGCCCAAGGUGGCAGCCACCUUGGUAAAAGACGGAGGAGGUGUGGUUUCUAGAAACGUCUUGCGUGGGGAAGAAGAGUUAUUUCCUCCAACUGUGAAGCUUGGAGGAAACGUGGAAGCCCCGGCUUUCGGAAUGCUGAGGAAUGUGCCUGCCAGGACAGACGCUGCUGCCACUAUGACCUUAGACAAGCGACUCUUGUCACUGCAUGAGGCGAAUACUAUACUAUUUUUUCGAAGAAAGUAUUAAUGCUUCAGGAAGGAACGACAGUUUCUUAGAUGAAAGGGUUUUCUGGACCAGAUAGACAUGGAUUCUGUCGUCAGCACAUUGUCUUGUUAAAUGACACAAAACUUAACAAUUGGGCAACAGCUUAUGCCCUAAAUUAAAAUGUGAAAUGUUAACCCCAGUAAAUUGCACAGUUGGAGUUGUGCUGAAGACAACAGACACCUCCAUGACAACCCAAAGUAUCACAGAGGAAAUGAAAAGCUGUGGACUCAUUCAAAGUUAAUUAAGAUUAGGUAUGACCAUGGAAGACUUGUGUAUGACCAUGGAAGACUUCUAGAGAAUCUUGACUGGUGAUGUGGAAAAAGAGACCCAGAAGAACAAAAAAACAGGUGACUGUAAUGCUGGUCCCCCUGUGCAGGAACAGCUCAGGAGACUGUCGGAGACAUGAGUGUCCUUGUAGAAGCCAGCAGUCUUGUUGGCUGUCAGGUCCUCAGGACUUAGUAUUAUUACAUGUCAUCCUUUCAUGUGGCAUGAAUGAGGAUUUAUAAAGCCCUAUUACGGUUUGGUUAUGCAGUCCAAACAGACUUACAAAGAUUUACAGAUUAAUUUUACUGCUCAAGCAUAGAGCAGAGACUCCUCAUUAGCUAAUUUGUGCAUACUACACUUUCCGUACACGUGUUACUGCAAAAAUGUCCCUACAGUGUUACCAGAGCUGGGGCAGGAAGUAAGGGUGGAAUUCCUGAGCUCACUGACACUGAUGCUGAAGGAAGCAGGAGGUGGGCGGAGCUGGCAGUGGUGAGAGCCACGUGGAUACAUGGGAUGGUGGAGGAGUCAGGAAAAGUUAGUAGCUAGCUGAGACUGUCCUAGCAAAAGACCAACAGCUUUAUUUUCUUCAAAAUUUAAUAAUAAACUGUAGAAAUAAACUAUUUUGAAAGGAUGUUGACAGACCCUAUCUUGUUCACGUCCUGAGUAGAGGCUGUCAUAGCUACCGUGAAGUUUAAGGGUGCAACACAGGUCACAGAGGCUCUGCUAAAGCCUUGCUGUAUAGUACAAGAGAGCACCUUAGUUACAAGGAUGAAAAGAUGGCUUUCUGAAGAGGAACAAGUACUACCAAUCACAAACUAUGAAAGGUGCCAAAGGGUUGACUUCCAACAGGAACUUCAAAGACUAUUUCAGCAACAGACCCUGGAUUGUACCAUACUCAAACUAUUUAAAGGAAUUACUUUCACUUUCCAAUGUAAUAUGGUUCUUAACUGACUUAAAAAAGGAAGACUGCUUCAUAACAGAAGGUAAAUGAAGAGAGAUGAGUCUUGGUAAGAAUGGGAAUAGUAAGAAACAAAAUCCCUUUGUGAGAGAUUAUAGGCACCAUCUUUUAUUAUGAUAGAACCCAGAUUUUUUUCCUUGUUUGUAUUAUCAAAUGCAAAACCUGAAAGAUACUAUUACAUAAAGAACCAUAUUCAGGCACCUGGGAGACAGACAGGUCUCAAGAAUUUGAGACCA